GUCUGGUUACCUGAGCCAGGUCUGGGGCCAGGCAGCAUGCAUUCUAGUCCUGCCUGGGACACUCACUGGCCUCAAGAUCUUGGGCAAAACAGCUGACUGCUUUGCACCUCAGUUUCCUCAUCUGUAAGGUCCAGGACUACCCACUUCCCUUGGAAUGGUGUUGCCAUCACUGUUCUGGCACCGGAGAAAGGAUUCUACAUCGUUAGGAGAAAAGAAAAAGGAGAAUUUGGGCUUGCACUGAGAGGAUUACCUUUGGUGGUCUGGAAGUGGUGGGGUUGCAGCAUUGAAGGCACCAUCUUGGAAGCAGAGACUAGACCCUCACCAAGCAAUUAACAUGCUGGUGCAUUGAUCUUGGACUUUCCAGCCUCCAGAACUACUUUUAAGGCAGAAUCUCAAUUCAUCUCUUCUAUGAAACUUUCAUGAUUCAAAGGGAAGUCCCUGCAUGGACACUGCCAGCUUCAUUGCACUUCUGCCUCUAUGCUUUUUCCUGAACCUUCUCCACCUCUGGAACGUACUUCAGGCUGCACAGGGAGCAUGGCUGGGAGGCCUCAGGAAACUGACAAUCAUCAGUAGAAGAUGAAGAGGAAGGAGGCGCAUCUUACAUGGCCAGAGAAGGAGGAAGAAUAAGAAGGGAUUCUCCAGCUGGAGCCCUAUAAAUUGGACUGACAAAAGACAGAUUAGCAAGAGAAAUGCAAGCAGCAGUUUAUUAACAUGUGCAUCAUGAUUACACAUGGAAGUACCCAGAGGCAGAAUUAAAGAUUCAAGAUGUACCUACUUCUUCCGGGGACAACAUUCAUGAUUCUUAAAGAUUUCACAAGUGUACCUUCUAAGGUAAAUUAUAAACAGUGCCAAAGAAUUUGCUUCACCGCAUGCCUAUAGGGUUGUGAAUCAG
rnacentral:lncRNA from 1 species